UGGGCUCUGAUCUGCUCUGGAAAGACGUCAACUGUGGACUCCAGCUGCCCUUCAUCUGCUAUGGAGAACCGGUGACGAAAAAUGUCUUUCGUUUGAAGCUUCAGAGCACAGCAGACCUCUCCGAUCUCACCGUCUACAGUCAGAUUAUCACAGCAAUCAACAUGAAACUGAAAAUUACUACAGCUAACUUCAAGAUCGACUGGUUCAAGACUCCAGUGAAGCUUUGAAUGAACGUGUGACUCUUCACAUUCUCAUUUUCAGUUGUGUGCAAAU